UUCCGGUUGAUCCUGCCGGAGUAAUUGUUCUUGGGGUCCGAUUUAGCCAUGCUAGUCGCACGGUCUUAGACCCGUGGUGAACAGCUCAGUCCACGUGGCCAAGCUGCCCUAUGGACCGGGACAACCUCGGGAAACUGAGGCUAAUCCCGGAUAUGACUCGCAUCCUGGAGUGGAGCGAGUCAGAAAUGCUCCGGCGCCGUAGGAUGUGGCUGCGGUCGAUUAGGUAGACGGUGGGGUAACGGCCCACCGUGCCCGUAAUCGGUACGGGGCAUGAGAGUGCGAGCCCGGAGGCGGUAUCUGAGACAAGAUACCGGGCCCUACGGGGCGCAGCAGGCGCGAAACCUUUACCCUGCGCGAGAGCGCGAUAAGGGGACCCCAAGUGCGAGGGCAUAUAGUCCUCGCUGUUCUGGACUGUAGGGAGGUUCAGAACAAAGGUCUGGGUAAGACCGGUGCCAGGCGCCGCGGUAAUACCGGCAGCCCGAGUGAUGGUCGAUUUUAUU
rnacentral:rRNA from 1 species